GACGAACGCUGGCGGCGUGCUUAACACAUGCAAGUCGAACGGAAAGGCCCUGCUUUUGUGGGGUGCUCGAGUGGCGAACGGGUGAGUAACACGUGAGUAACCUGCCCUUGACUUUGGGAUAACUUCAGGAAACUGGGGCUAAUACCGGAUAGGAGCUCCUGCUGCAUGGUGGGGGUUGGAAAGUUUCGGCGGUUGGGGAUGGACUCGCGGCUUAUCAGCUUGUUGGUGGGGUAGUGGCUUACCAAGGCUUUGACGGGUAGCCGGCCUGAGAGGGUGACCGGCCACAUUGGGACUGAGGUACGGCCCAGACUCGUACGGGAGGCAGCGGUGGGGAAUAUUGCACAAUGGGCGGAAGCCUGAUGCAGCGGCGCCGCGUGCGGGAUGACGGCCUUCGGGUUGUAAACCGCGUUCGCCUGUGACGAAGCGUGAGUGACGGUAAUGGGUAAAGAAGCACCGGCUAACUACGUG
rnacentral:rRNA from 1 species